rnacentral:lncRNA from 13 species
GUCUUGGCUCCACAGACACGAGUGGAGGACCCUACACCAUCCUCCUCUCAAAUGAGGCUCUCAGUGACUGUACCCAUGAGAAUGGCACGAGGGAGAUUUCAGAGCCACCAGAAACCUGGCAGCAGAUGUUUCUUUCCCUUCGAAGGACUUGGCAUUGGGACAUAGCAGGAGCUACAGUCACAGGCAGACACCAACAGUGCCUCAGGUUAGAGACCAAGGCUCUGAGCCCCAGGCUCCACCUCGGGGCCUGCCUCUCUCCAGCAGGGACACCAGGCAUCAUGGCUGUAGGGAGGCUGGGGGACAGACUCUGGGCCUGGUAGAACCUGGAGCAGGGCAAGCGUGUGCUUUGAGGCAGAGCAGCAGACCCAGGCUUUCACAGGAGCCUUCCCGCACACAGACCUCAAUCUUCCAUGAGCUUCGGUUCCCCUUCUGUGCUGUGGAGGAGGGCUAUCAUCAGGGCCGGUGAGCAGAUUAAGGGGGAUAGUGCUGGUGAUGGGGUGGGGUCCACAGCAGAUGUGCAGCAAGAGCCUGCCUGUCCUUCCUUGUCUGCCUGGUGCAUCCUGGAUACUCAGCGACUCAAGUGUGACAGAUGACAGUGAGCACGGAGAAACUCAGUACGGGAACUGCCAGAACAUCUAUCCCUAAAGGCCAUGGGGAUGAAGCUGCUCCCUCUGAGGACACAGCCUCGUGGGCCUUGAAGGCUGUUGAGGUUUCUGGGUGGCCCUGAGAAAUGCAGUCAUCCCUGGGGUCUCACCCCGAAGCCUCCAUGAGCUGUGCACAUCGAGAUGGAGGGGCAGGCAACCAGGAGGAAGCAGGGAGGAUGAGGGCUGCUCGGGUCUCCCACUGGCUCCCACGCCCCUGCUCGCCAUGGCUCUCUGAGUCCUCCCUCACACCGCCUUUUCCAGGUGCCAGAAAUGUGAGACAUCGGUGGGAAAAAGAACAACAAACACACUCGUCCAUUUUGCCAAAACUGGCUACCCUCCCUGGAUAACCCACAAUUACGUGACGCGGUUAACAGAAUUCUCAUGAUGGAAUGGGUCUGACUUCCUACCUUGAUCCUAUUUGCUGAGAAAAUGAAUUCUGUCAAAUCUCUUGAAGUCAACUGUCAAAGUAAAGCAUUUCGGGAAAGACAGAUCUCUCACUCUGAUGGCAAAAUUCAUUUGAUUUGGCUCUUUAAUCCAGUCUGCCUGUGAAAGCUGGAGCUGAAAUUUUGAAGCCUGUUCUCUCUUUUCUCUGCUGCUCCGUCUCUUGGUGCCCUGUUCUCCAUCUCUUAGAAAAUAUUGCAGCAAAGAACUGCAGCUGGUGUAAUGAUGACCAUUUGGUUUCUCAUGACUAUUUUUUAGGGAGAAAAUGACAGAGCACAAAGCCUUUUCUUUCAGUGUCUGUUUAGGGAAGGGAGAAAGGUGCUUACUGCCAGGGCCAGCAGGAACAAGAGAAAGGGCUCAGGGAGAUCGGCGAGAUUUUGCAGCCUCAGCAUCUGCGGGAGCAGGAGGGACAUCUGGGAAGAUGGCAGUGCCUCCUUCCCCACUGAAGGAGGGGGACAGUGAGUACUAAUUUUUUUUGAUCCCUGGUUCCCACCCUGUACCCUCUUUCAUGAUUCAUCUUCAUGAACCUGCCAGAAGCUUCUGUUAUAUUUUACAAAGCAUCCGCAUCCAUUAUGGUCAUUUAAUCAUUAAUUGACUCCUUGGCUCAUUCAUGUAUUCAUGUUAUUCAGCUUCUGGUAAUUGGGGUUCGCUGUGGGUUGGGAUCCAUGUGAAGCUCUGGGGUAACAGACACUGACAAGACACAACUGUCCCCUGCAGAAGUCCAGGCUCUAAUAGAGGAGAAUGUGCACAGAUAGCAGUGGCCUGGCCAGGUAAGGAUUAUGAGGACACGAGUUGGGCACAUAGUAGGUGCUUGCAUCCUCUUGGAUGCAUUGGGUAAGAAGUAGCAGAAACCAACAAUAGUGGCUCAAGCAAUUGAGAUUUUAUGUAAUGAUCAUGCACAGAAAG